AACGCGAAGAACCUUACCAUCCCUUGACAUCCACAGAAGAGAGAAGAGAUUUUCUUGUGCCUUCGGGAACUGUGAGACAGGUGCUGCAUGGCUGUCGUCAGCUCGUGUUGUGAAAUGUUGGGUUAAGUCCCGCAACGAGCGCAACCCUUAUCCUUGUUUGCCAGCGAGUAAUGUCGGGAACUCCAGGGAGACUGCCGGUGAUAAACCGGAGGAAGGUGGGGACGACGUCAAGUCAUCAUGGCCCUUACGAGUAGGGCUACACACGUGCUACAAUGGCGCAUACAGAGGGCAGCCAACUUGCGAAAGUGAGCGAAUCCCAAAAAGUGCGUCGUAGUCCGGAUUGGAGUCUGCAACUCGACUCCAUGAAGUCGGAAUCGCUAGUAAUCGUAGAUCAGAAUGCUACGGUGAAUACGUUCCCGGGUCUUGUACACACCG
rnacentral:rRNA from 1 species